GAUGAACGCUGGCGGCGUGCCUAAUACAUGCAAGUCGAGCGAACGGACGAGAAGCUUGCUUCUCUGAUGUUAGCGGCGGACGGGUGAGUAACACGUGGAUAACCUACCUAUAAGACUGGGAUAACUUCGGGAAACCGGAGCUAAUACCGGAUAAUAUUUUGAACCGCAUGGUUCAAAAGUGAAAGACGGUCUUGCUGUCACUUAUAGAUGGAUCCGCGCUGCAUUAGCUAGUUGGUAAGGUAACGGCUUACCAAGGCAACGAUGCAUAGCCGACCUGAGCGGGUGAUCGGCCACACUGGAACUGGGACACGGUCCAGACGCCUACGGGAGGCAGCAGUAGGGAAUCUUCCGCAAUGGGCGAAAGCCUUACGGAGCAACGCCGCGUGAGUGAUGAAGGUCUUCGGAUCGUAAAACUCUGUUAUUAGGGAAGAACAUAUGUGUAAGUAACUGUGCACAUCUUGACGGUACCUAAUCAGAAAGUCACGGCUAACUACGUG
rnacentral:rRNA from 1 species